rnacentral:rRNA from 1 species
UACGUAGGGUGCAAGCGUUGUCCGGAAUUAUUGGGCGUAAAGAGCUCGUAGGCGGUUCGUCGCGUCGGCUGUGAAAUCCCGAGGCUCAACUCCGGGCCUGCAGUCGAUACGGGCAAACUGGAGUGUUGCAGGGGAGACUGGAAUUCCUGGUGUAGCGGUGAAAUGCGCAGAUAUCAGGAGGAACACCGGUGGCGAAGGCGGGUCUCUGGGCAACAACUGACGCUGAGGAGCGAAAGCGUGGGGAGCGAACAGG